AAAGAUUGGUGAGAAUCCAAUCCGCCGCAGGGGCUAGGUUUCCUCGACAAUGUUCGUCAGUCGAGGGUUAGUCAGUCCUAAGACGUACCGUAAUUCGAGUACGCCGAAAGGGAAACAGGUUAAUAUUCCUGUACCUGUAUCAAACAAUCCUGACGCUUUCGGAUAGGCAUUGCGGAGUCAUCGCUCCGUCUAAGCUGGAUAUGAAAUUGGAGUACCGUAAUGGUGAGAAUUUUUCAAAACGGUGAUGGGGUAACAAUGCUGAUUCCAGGAGCCCGUGAAAAGGGUGAUACGGUCCGUACCGAGAACUGACACAGGUGCCCCUCGCUGAGAAGGCGAAGGCGUGUCGGGAGUAAAUGUGUUAAGGGAACUCGGCAAAUUAGCCCUGUAACUUUGGGAUAAGGGGUGCCUGCCCAGCGAUUGGGCAGGUCGCAGUGACAAGAUCGCUCCGACUGUCUAAUAACAACAUAGCAGACUGCAACACCGAAAGGACUCGUAUAGUCUGUGAUUCCUGCCCAGUGCGAGUAUCUGAACACCGGGUUCAACCGGACGAAGGACUCGUAAACGGCGGGGGUAACAAUGACCCUCUUAAGGUAGCGUAGUACCUUGUCGCUUAAUUGGCGACUUGCAUGAAUGGAAUAACGAGAGCGAUACUGUCCCUAACACAUACCCGUUGAACCUUUUGUACUAGUGCAGAGACUAGUGACUCCUUAUGGGAAGUGAAGACCCCGUGGAGCUUUACUGCAGCCUGUCGUUGGGUUACGGUAUUACCUGCGCAGGGUAGAUGGGAGACGUCAAUCCAACCCUUGUGGGGGUUGGUUAGUCAACGAUGAGACACCAUCCUGGUUUUAUUGUAAUUCUAACUGAUUUAUCAGGACAUCGAUAGGUAGGCAGUUUGGGUGGGGCGCCACACCCUCGAAAGAAUAUCAAGGGUGCCCUAAGGUCAACUCAAGCGGGUCAGAAACCCGCUGAAGAGUGUCAAGAGCAAAAGUUGGCCUGACGCGAUUUCGCAUAGCAAGAAAUCGCGAGAGGAAACUCGGGUCUAACGAACCAAUACGCCCUGUUGAUGAGGGCUAUUGACUACAGAAAAGCUACCCCGGGGAUAACAGAGUCGUCGCCGGCAAGAGCACAUAUCGACCCGGCGGCUUGCUACCUCGAUGUCGGUUCUUUCCAUCCUGGCUGUGCAGCAGCAGCCAAGGGUGAGGUUGUUCGCCUAUUAAAGGGGAUCGUGAGCUGGGUUUAGACCGUCGUGAGACAGGUCGGUUACUAUCUAUAAGGAGUGUUGGAAGUCUGAAGGCAAGAAUGAAAUAGUACGAGAGGAACUUUCAUUCGGCGUCACUGGUCUACCGGUUGUCUGACAAGGCACCGCCGGGCAGCUACGCGCCAAGAGAUAAAAGCUGAAAGCAUCUAAGCUCGAAACUCAGCCUGAACAAGAGACUUCAUUAAAGACACGGGUAAAAGACCCGGUUGAUAGGUUCGGGAUGUACGCACGAAGGCAACGACGUGUU
rnacentral:rRNA from 1 species